UAUACAGCACUCUCUUAUCUGGAACACGGGUAUCACUAUAAAUGUUUUGACCUCGGACCUUGAGGCAAAGAACAAUUCAAAUAAACCUUUGAUCACGUCUGAUUCAGUUCUCCAAGUCUGCAAGUUCACAGAGACAGAGUUGAACCAAGAGGGGGAGAUAGAGAGAGUUGGGGUGGUGGCCCUCAGCGUUUAUCAAAGAGCUUUUCAGAGCCUUUGACAACACUUCCUCACUUGCAACAGCAGCAUACUGAUCUACAGGAGCCCACGCACAGGCACACAGAGAUCUCUUCAAGGUCUGGAUAAUGUGUGUGAAGCCAAACAGAGCCCUUUCGUACUGCAAAAUCAGUUUAUCUGCUAUAUCGGGGAGUAAGGCUGCAAAUAAAGGCGAUGGUUAUAAUUUAUUAAAACGCAUGGCAUUGACUGUCGCUAUCACAAAUUCACACAAUUAGAAAAGGGUUUUUUUGUCUCUUCAGCUGACAACACUGGAUAUUUGAGAAUCACUGCAUUUAUCAAACACGGCGGGGAGUCUUCAUCUAAAAAGUGCACUGUCAAGUCUGUCUUCGUCGCCCUGUACAUGGGAUAUUAAAGAGGAUGGUUAAGCAGCUUGUGGCCUAAUGGGACACUCCCUCUAACAGUGAUGCAAAUAGCCACCCCAGCUGUCACCUAUCAGGGAGGAUCCUCGCUCUUUGCAGGCGAGGUGAAAGUCGACCACUUGUAAUGCUGUUGCUAGGAGCCAUCAACGGAAAUGUCAGUCGACUCAGCAAGUGAUGAGAUUUGACAUAUGGCAUCAAAGCAUCAUUAGACCCGCACCUGCUGCAGAUGGAGUCUGCUCUUUCGCAAGGGGUUCAGCACCAAGGGGAGGCCUAUUGAGGGAUAGAGAAGGAUAAGAUGACCGGUCCAUGGAAAGGCAAGCCACUUAGUGGGAUUUAACCUUAAAAAGACCAGAAAAUAAUGACUGUAACCAUGAGCCUGAGCCUGUUAACUUUUUUUGUACAAAUUCUUGCACAGUAUUAAUUCUUUCAUUUAUAAAGCAGGGCCACAAAUUUGAGCUUAAAUACAAUAAAUUCACUCUAGAAAUAUAUGCUGGAUAGAGACUUUUGCCCUGAUUUCUGAAGUCAACUUCAACAGUAGUUUCCUGUUGUCGGCAUGGUGGCUCAGCGGUUAGCAUGCUAACCUCACAGCAAGAAGGUCACAGGCUUUCUGUGGGGAGUUUGCAAGUUAUCCCCCUGCAAGCUGAAGUUUUAGUCCCUUUGACCGAGGCACUGGCAUACACCUGGGGUUGGCCUCUAGAAGCCACACUGUGGAUUCCCACAGCUCCUAAUGCUUAGGGUUUGUUAAAACCUAGCAUCAAAGUAUCUCUAGUCUGAGUCAGUAGUGCCAAGGAAGUGCCGGUUACAAUGAAAAAGUAACCCUGUGAGAUUAUAGCAAUUGCACUUUCACAAAAGCAAGAUGAUAGACAUUCUUUUCCUAAUAGAAUCAUCGUAGAGUUUUUUCUGUGCUGCCAUAAAAAAACUACUUUGUGCCAAAUACAAAGUGCAACUAAAACUAAAGACCAGUUGCACAGAUGAGCAAAAAAAUGCAUAAAACCUAAUUAGCAUCUCUGUCAUCCAGUCUACCUUGUUGCUGUACUUAAUGGCAGAUGUAGAACGUUGCUUGCUGCAAAGUCAAAGAGCCAAAUCAUGAACUCUUUUAUUUAUCAGCUUACAUUUAGCAGUUUCAUGCAGCCAGUCUCUAUUGCAAUGUGUUCAGUAUGACGAGGGAUCUGCUUUGGAAUUCACCUUGUUGGACUCGUUGGGUAGAUGAAGCAUAGAAGGGAAUUUAUGCAAAUUUCAGAACUCUGUCAGCUAGAAACAACAUUUCUAUACAACAACAUUGCAAUAAUUUGCUUCCUUAUUAUGUUGCUUUGUUAACUGGAUCAUAUCAAGGCAUAAUUUUUAGUUGUAAUACAAGAAGUACAUUUAUGGCCGGCCUCUCAGUUUGCAGGAGGUGGUUGGAAAGGACUCUCACACCAUUAGCCAGAUUUAACUUCAAUGAUCAUAUCUAUAGGUCUGUGGUUUUGUUCAAAUCUAUUAAAAAAAGAAAUUAGGUAGUCCUGCAACAACUAAAAUCACUGUGAAUCUUUUCUGUGUCAAAUCAGACGGCAUGCGUUCUCAACCCUUAUCAUAUCUUGUGAGAAAAAUGUAAUUAUACAUUAUUCCAGAUGCAGAUUACAGAUGGAUAUAGGUGCUAACAUGCAUAUUUUAAAGGGCAGUAACUGGUAAAUGUAAUAUUAGUGGUCUAAUGUGUUAAUGCAACUUUUUCUUAAACAAAAAAAGGUAAUCAUAUCACAAAUUUGUCCCUUAAAAGACUGCCCCUUCCAGUGUAGAUGUGCAGAAAUAUCCUUUUAGAGUCGCUUUUGCAUACUUGGACGCGUUGCAAUACCAAAUAAUAAAUAAAAGGAUGGUGUAAUUAGUCUUUCUCUGAGAGUAAACUUCCUUCUUAGAAAGUAAACUUCUUAGUAAACUUUCUUCUUAGAAGGUUCAGUGCAGAAGAAACCCCCAAUUGCCUGCUACUGUACUGCAAAAAUCAUCUAUGUCCAUAAUGUGUCAGAAAAAAAACAAUUUAACGUGCUGCAUCCCAGAAAAGUCACUUCUCCACUCCAGA